GUCUCAAAUCGGGCAGGAAUACCCGCUGAACUUAAGCAUAUCACUAAGCGGAGGAAAAGAAACUAACCAGGAUUCCCCUAGUAACGGCGAGUGAACCGGGAAGAGCUCAAGCUGAAAAUCUUCGGAAUUGUAGUCUAUAGGUGCAGACUCGUGCAACUUCGGGUGUAAAUCCGUUCAUGGAACUGGGUGCCAGAGAGGGUUAGAGCCCCGUCUUCGACCCUGAAUGUUGUGCGUGGCGAGCAGGCACCAGCGAGUCGGCUUGCUUGGGAAUGCAGGUCAAAAUGGGUGGUAAACUUCAUCUAAAGCUAAAUAUUGGCGAGAGACCGAUAGCGAACAAGUACUGUGAAGGAAAGAUGGAAAGAACUUUGAAAAGAGAGUGAAAAAGGGCUUGAAAUUGUUAAGAGGAGAAGUGAUUGGAGCAUAUCAUACUAUCAAAGACAAAUGGCAGGGAUUUAUCCUCGCAAUGAAGCCUUUGGUAGUUGGUCAGCAUCAGUUUGAGGUUGGGGAGACUACAUUUACCAUGAAACCUAGUGAUUGAUAAGUGGGAAACCCAGCCUGAGACUGAGGCACAAAGAACGCGCACAGCGCCCGGCCUAAAUCCUUCUAUAUUGUAGUCCAACACUCUUCGGAGUGUUGUCUGCACUGUGGUUGAUAUUUGGGUUGCAGGAUCUGCGUUCUGAAGAUGCUGGCACAAUGGCUUCAAUCAGCCCGUCUUGGAACACGGACCAAGGAGUCUAACACGUAUGCAAGUAGUAAGGUGGCAAACCUUGGAUGCGCAAUGAAAGUAAACGUAGGUGGGAUUCGUAAGAUGCACCAUCGACCGACCAGGAUCAUCAGUGAAAGGUUUGAGUAAGAGCAUAUUUGUUGGGACCCGAAAGAUGGUGAACUAUGCCUG
rnacentral:rRNA from 1 species